rnacentral:piRNA from 1 species
CUUGUUCUGGUGACCUCAACAAAGC